GAAAGAUGAAUAAAAUUAUUGUAAUUAUUUUGUUAAUCUACAUGGGCUUGGGUACUUCUGUAUUCUGUAAAUUUUCUGUUAUAAGAUUAUUAUUUUUUAAUGGAAGGAAGAGUAGUAUACUCUUUCAAUAAAUCUAGUAGAACUUCAAAAAAAAGAAACUUUGCAGUAACUUUAGAAAGCACCUAUUCAGUGGUUUGUGUAACACUCUGUGGCUAUAUGAGGUUUAUGUGACCGUUUUCCUUCCUAGACCUGUGGAAUGGGAGAGUGGGAGGGGCACGGGUGGAGACUGGAAGCCCUGGGCGGGUCCAGCCUUUCCCGCACUAACCCUGAGGCCUAGGAAAGUCACAUUCUCUUGGGUCUCAGUUUUCAUUUGUAAAAUCAGGGGCUUACAGGUUCUUAACUUUUUGACAAACUGAUAACAACUAUGGACUUUUUCCCAGAAAACACACAGGGGGACAGCUUCAGAGGCCUGGACCCAGAGUAAGAACUGGAUCAUCUCACCUCUAAGCUCCCACUCACCUCUGCUAUUCUGUAAUCCUGUUGUCCCGGUCGUCUUUGAGCUAAUAAUAAUGAUGACUUGUGUUUAUGGAGGAUACAUUCCAAAGCCUUUUCACCUCUCAUUUUUUUUGUCCUUAAAACAUUUCUGAGUGGUGUGGGCAGUGAGGGGUAUUUCUUUUCCUGAUGAAGAAAGGGUACCAGACCUGGCCAUCAUUUUGGUAGGGUCACACAGCCAUAAGACUGUCUUGGGGGUCAGAACUGGGCUUCUGGUUGCCAGCUUGGGUUUUUUCCAUUAGUUUAGUUCCCAGGUAGUUGUCUUUACGAGUUAUGUUUGGCAGUGCAAGUAUCCCAGAAUGUGUCACUUGCAGAGGAAACUAUUUGUUCAUCUGCUGAAAGACCUGUUUUCUUGUCUGACUUUGGAUCACUAAACACCUUUCUGCCUGACCUUCAAGAGGUUACUUAUUUUGUUAUUUUUUCUUGUCAUAUUUUCCAUAGGGGCACAUUUGUAGGACUUGGGUGUUUUGAGCAGACUUGUUUAAUGUUUGUUUUUGUUGUUUAAUGUUUAUUGAUUAAAGAGUACAUCAAAAUGA